rnacentral:lncRNA from 1 species
GUUAGCCUUGACCAUGUUCCCCAGAUAGCCGUGGAGGUUUUUACUUGCUGCCAGUGAACAGCUGCUCAGAGGAUGAAGAUGGAGAAAUAAGGGAGAGGCUUGGGGGCCUUAAGGUUUCCCUCGGUGCCUCUGCCCCUCACCACAAGGGAAUCCCUCCUCUACAAGACGUGCCAGUGGAUGCCUUUUCUCUUCGCCGAGGCGCAUGCGCACCUCCUCCCCAGCCACCUCCUGUGGCUCCCCGGCCUCCCAGGCCUAACUGGCUACUGACAGAACCCCCAAGCAGAGAGGACACUCAGCAGAACCAGAACCAGACCCCAGGCCAAAGCUGCAGCCGCAGUCGCAGUCACAGCCGCAGUCGCAGCGGCAGCCGCAGCCGCAGUCGCAGCCAAGGUCGAGGCAAGUCUGCUGGAUGCAGGCGCUCCCCUUCCCCGGCACCCAUCACCACUGCCACCUCAGCCAACGGGCGUUACCACAGGCCUCGAAAGGCAAGGCCCCUGCUUCCACGACCCCUAGAUGGGCAGGUGGCCAAAGUGGGAGUCAGGCAAGAGCCCUUGGAGAAUGGGAUUGAUCAGACAGCUGAGGACGAAGCUGGGAAUGCCACCAC